rnacentral:rRNA from 1 species
GAUGAACGCUGGCGGCGUGCCUAAUACAUGCAAGUCGAACGGGGAGUCGCAAUACUCUUAGUGGCGAACGGGUGAGUAACGCGUUGGUACCUGCCCCGAAGCGGGGGAUAACGGACCGAAAUGUCCGCUAAUACCCCAUGUGCUCGGUAACGAGUAAAGGUGAAAACCACUUUGGGAGGGGCCUGCGUCCCAUCAGCUAGUUGGUAAGUUAACGGCUUACCAAGGCGAUGACGGGUAGGGGACCUGAGAGGGUGGCCCCCCACAAGGGAACUGAAACACGGUCCCGACUCCUCCGGGUGGCGGCAGUAGGGAAUAUUGGUAAUGGGCGCAAGCCUGAACCAGCAUCGCCGCGUGUGCGAUGACGGCCUUCGGGUUGUAAAGCACUUUUGACUGAGACGAGGAAGGACGGUACCGGUCGAAUCAGCCUCGGCUAACUACGUG